UACAGAGGUCUCAAGCGUUGUUCGGAUUCAUUGGGCGUAAAGGGUGCGUAGGCGGCGCGGUAAGUCGGGUGUGAAAUCUCGGAGCUUAACUCCGAAACUGCAUUCGAUACUGCCGUGCUUGAGGACUGGAGAGGAGACUGGAAUUUACGGUGUAGCGGUGAAAUGCGUAGAGAUCGACAAGAACACCGGUGGCGAAGGCGGGUCUCUGGACAGUUCCUGACGCUGAGGGACGAAAGCUAGGGGAGCAAACGGG
rnacentral:rRNA from 1 species